UGGGGAAUAUUGCACAAUGGGCGCAAGCCUGAUGCAGCCAUGCCGCGUGUAUGAAGAAGGCCUUCGGGUUGUAAAGUACUUUCAGCGGGGAGGAAGGCGUUAAGGUUAAUAACCUUGGCGAUUGACGUUACCCGCAGAAGAAGCACCGGCUAACUCCGUGCCAGCAGCCGCGGUAAUACGGAGGGUGCAAGCGUUAAUCGGAAUUACUGGGCGUAAAGCGCACGCAGGCGGUCUGUCAAGUCGGAUGUGAAAUCCCCGGGCUCAACCUGGGAAAUGCAUUCGAAAAUGGCAGGAUAGAGGCUUGUAGAGGGGGGUAGAAUUCCAGGUGUAGCGGUGAAAUGCGUAGAGAUCUGGAGGAAUACCGGUGGCGAAGGCGGCCCCCUGGAAAAAGACUGACGCUCAGGUGCGAAAGCGUGGGGAGCAAACAGG
rnacentral:rRNA from 1 species